CGGGGUGCACGAAAAGAAGUGUCGUUACUGAAAUGUUCUAUACUAGGAUAGGGUAGGGCUCGACACUUGAAACUACUUCCUCACCAGCAAAGACAUCUGACUUGACUGCUAGAUCAGCUCUAUCUCUAUCAGCUCAAUGUAAUCGACCCUUACUUUUCAUCUACUACAGGAUAUGCUAAUAUAAGGUCAUUUCUUCUUUCGUAUCGAGCACUCUUCUCUUAGCUAAAUGGAACUCAAGUACGGAUAGAAGGAUUUAGUACGGAUUCUCUAACUGUUUAUUCUCUUACCGCAACACUCGCAUACAAAGAAAUUCUCCGAAAGCUUUAAAGGAGACUGCUCCGUUAGUGGGCAUGAGAUUCGAGCUAUAUUCUCUUCUUGAUAUGACUUAACUAGCACCACAUUAGCUUCAGCAGUUGAGAACUUUGAUUCGACUUCGGCUUCCUUUUCGGGAACUCCACUCUGUAUAUAGUCUGAGUCUACUCCUGAUUUCACCUGUUUUAGUCAACUCGAACAGAGCCAAUCACUUCUCUUACAGACACUGCUACUUGGAUCAGACAGACAAUAAAUUGACCCGAGCUCAGUUGUGGUAUACUUUCCCUUUGAUGAACCUCCUGUUAUGGUAUACUUUCCCUUUGAUGAACCUCCUGUUAUGGUAUACUUUCCCUUUUCCUCUAGUAUAUAAAUGGAGUUGUAAUAUUCCCAGUUUCUGUGCAAAACUCUAUGAGCUUCUUUCUAUGGUUCGGUUCCUUUCAACUUCACCGCUUAAGUUCACCUCUUCUUCUUAAUACGAUUACACUUGAACUAGGAUUACACUCGAAACAUAAAGACAGACAAUAAAACAGUCUGUAAACUUUCUCUUUAGCCGAGUCAACCAGUCAUUUCUCUCCGUUAGCGCUUUACCCCUGCGCCUCCAUUCUCUUCAACAAACACUUGAUUUCGUGCUUGCUU
rnacentral:lncRNA from 1 species